rnacentral:rRNA from 1 species
UGGGGAAUUUUGGACAAUGGGGGAAACCCUGAUCCGCCAUCCCGCGUGUGCGGUUAAGGCCUUCGGGUUGUAAAGCACUUUUGGCAGGGAAGAAACGUCAUGGGUUAAUACCCCGUGAAACUGACGGUACCUGCAGAAUAAGCACCGGCCAACUACGUGCCAGCAGCCGCGGUAAUACGUAGGGUGCAAGCGUUAAUCGGAAUUACUGGGCGUAAAGCGUGCGCAGGCGGUUCGGAAAGAAAGAUGUGAAAUCCCAGAGCUCAACUUUGGAACUGCAUUUUUAACUACCGGGCUAGAGUGUGUCAGAGGGAGGUGGAAUUCCGCGUGUAGCAGUGAAAUGCGUAGAUAUGCGGAGGAACACCGAUGGCGAAGGCAGCCUCCUGGGAUAACACUGACGCUCAUGCACGAAAGCGUGGGGAGCAAACAGG